UUAAGCGACUAAGCGUACACGGUGGAUGCCCUGGCAGUCAGAGGCGAUGAAGGACGUGCUAAUCUGCGAAAAGCGUCGGUAAGGUGAUAUGAACCGUUAUAGCCGGCGAUGUCCGAAUGGGGAAACCCAGUGCAAUUCGUUGCACUAUCGUUAACUGAAUACAUAGGUUAACGAGGCGAACCGGGGGAACUGAAACAUCUAAGUACCCCGAGGAAAAGAAAUCAACCGAGAUUCCCCCAGUAGCGGCGAGCGAACGGGGAGCAGCCCAGAGUCUGAAUCAGCUUGUGUGUUAGUGGAACGGUCUGGAAAGUCCGACGGUACAGGGUGAUAGUCCCGUACACCAAAAUGCACAGGUUGUGAACUCGAAGAGUAGGGCGGGACACGUGGUAUCCUGUCUGAAUAUGGGGGGACCAUCCUCCAAGGCUAAAUACUCCUGACUGACCGAUAGUGAACCAGUACCGUGAGGGAAAGGCGAAAAGAACCCCGGCGAGGGGAGUGAAAAAGAACCUGAAACCGUGUACGUACAAGCAGUGGGAGCACCUUCGGGUGUGACUGCGUACCUUUUGUAUAAUGGGUCAGCGACUUAUAUUCUGUAGCAAGGUUAACCGUAUAGGGGAGCCGCAGGGAAACCGAGUCUUAACUGGGCGUUAAGUUGCAGGGUAUAGACCCGAAACCCGGUGAUCUAGCCAUGGGCAGGUUGAAGGUUGGGUAACACUAACUGGAGGACCGAACCGACUAAUGUUGAAAAAUUAGCGGAUGACUUGUGGCUGGGGGUGAAAGGCCAAUCAAACCGGGAGAUAGCUGGUUCUCCCCGAAAGCUAUUUAGGUAGCGCCUCGUGAACUCAUCUUCGGGGGUAGAGCACUGUUUCGGCUAGGGGGUCAUCCCGACUUACCAACCCGAUGCAAACUACGAAUACCGAAGAAUGUUAUCACGGGAGACACACGGCGGGUGCUAACGUCCGUCGUGAAGAGGGAAACAACCCAGACCGCCAGCUAAGGUCCCAAAGUCAUGGUUAAGUGGGAAACGAUGUGGGAAGGCACAGACAGCCAGGAUGUUGGCUUAGAAGCAGCCAUCAUUUAAAGAAAGCGUAAUAGCUCACUGGUCGAGUCGGCCUGCGCGGAAGAUGUAACGGGGCUAAACCAUGCACCGAAGCUGCGGCAGCGACACUAUGUGUUGUUGGGUAGGGGAGCGUUCUGUAAGCCUGCGAAGGUGACCUGUGAGGGUUGCUGGAGGUAUCAGAAGUGCGAAUGCUGACAUAAGUAACGAUAAAGCGGGUGAAAAGCCCGCUCGCCGGAAGACCAAGGGUUCCUGUCCAACGUUAAUCGGGGCAGGGUGAGUCGACCCCUAAGGCGAGGCCGAAAGGCGUAGUCGAUGGGAAACAGGUUAAUAUUCCUGUACUUGGUGUUACUGCGAAGGGGGGACGGAGAAGGCUAUGUUAGCCGGGCGACGGUUGUCCCGGUUUAAGCAUGUAGGCUGGUUGUCCAGGCAAAUCCGGAUAAUCAAGGCUGAGGUGUGAUGACGAGGCACUACGGUGCUGAAGUAACAAAUGCCCUGCUUCCAGGAAAAGCCUCUAAGCAUCAGGUAACAUUAAAUCGUACCCCAAACCGACACAGGUGGUCAGGUAGAGAAUACCAAGGCGCUUGAGAGAACUCGGGUGAAGGAACUAGGCAAAAUGGUGCCGUAACUUCGGGAGAAGGCACGCUGGUGUGUAGGUGAAGCCCCUGCGGGUGGAGCUGAGACCAGUCGAAGAUACCAGCUGGCUGCAACUGUUUAUUAAAAACACAGCACUGUGCAAACACGAAAGUGGACGUAUACGGUGUGACGCCUGCCCGGUGCCGGAAGGUUAAUUGAUGGGGUUAUCCGUAAGGAGAAGCUCUUGAUCGAAGCCCCGGUAAACGGCGGCCGUAACUAUAACGGUCCUAAGGUAGCGAAAUUCCUUGUCGGGUAAGUUCCGACCUGCACGAAUGGCGUAAUGAUGGCCAGGCUGUCUCCACCCGAGACUCAGUGAAAUUGAACUCGCUGUGAAGAUGCAGUGUACCCGCGGCAAGACGGAAAGACCCCGUGAACCUUUACUAUAGCUUGACACUGAACAUUGAGCCUUGAUGUGUAGGAUAGGUGGGAGGCUUUGAAGCGUGGACGCCAGUCUGCGUGGAGCCAACCUUGAAAUACCACCCUUUAAUGUUUGAUGUUCUAACGUUGGCCCCUGACCGGGGUUGCGGACAGUGUCUGGUGGGUAGUUUGACUGGGGCGGUCUCCUCCCAAAGCGUAACGGAGGAGCACGAAGGUUAGCUAAUCCUGGUCGGACAUCAGGAGGUUAGUGCAAUGGCAUAAGCUAGCUUGACUGCGAGCGUGACGGCGCGAGCAGGUGCGAAAGCAGGUCAUAGUGAUCCGGUGGUUCUGAAUGGAAGGGCCAUCGCUCAACGGAUAAAAGGUACUCCGGGGAUAACAGGCUGAUACCGCCCAAGAGUUCAUAUCGACGGCGGUGUUUGGCACCUCGAUGUCGGCUCAUCACAUCCUGGGGCUGAAGUAGGUCCCAAGGGUAUGGCUGUUCGCCAUUUAAAGUGGUACGCGAGCUGGGUUUAGAACGUCGUGAGACAGUUCGGUCCCUAUCUGCCGUGGGCGCUGGAGAAUUGAGGGGGGCUGCUCCUAGUACGAGAGGACCGGAGUGGACGCAUCACUGGUGUUCGGGUUGUCAUGCCAAUGGCACUGCCCGGUAGCUAAAUGCGGAAGAGAUAAGUGCUGAAAGCAUCUAAGCACGAAACUUGCCCCGAGAUGAGUUCUCCCUGAGACUUUAAGUCUCCUGAAGGAACGUUAAAGACGAUGACGUUGAUAGGCCGGGUGUGUAAGCGCAGCGAUGCGUUGAGCUAACCGGUACUAAUGAACCGUGAGGCUUAACCUU
rnacentral:rRNA from 1 species